rnacentral:rRNA from 1 species
GAUGAACGCUGGCGGCGUGCCUAACACAUGCAAGUCGAGCGAAGCACUUUGCUUAGAUUCUUCGGAUGAAGAGGAUUGUGACUGAGCGGCGGACGGGUGAGUAACGCGUGGGUAACCUGCCUCAUACAGGGGGAUAACAGUUAGAAAUGACUGCUAAUACCGCAUAAGACCACAGCACCGCAUGGUGCGGGGGUAAAAACUCCGGUGGUAUGAGAUGGACCCGCGUCUGAUUAGCUAGUUGGUAAGGUAACGGCUUACCAAGGCGACGAUCAGUAGCCGACCUGAGAGGGUGACCGGCCACAUUGGGACUGAGACACGGCCCAAACUCCUACGGGAGGCAGCAGUGGGGAAUAUUGCACAAUGGGGGAAACCCUGAUGCAGCGACGCCGCGUGAGCGAAGAAGUAUUUCGGUAUGUAAAGCUCUAUCAGCAGGGAAGAAAAUGACGGUACCUGACUAAGAAGCACCGG